GACGAACGCUGGCGGCGUGCUUAACACAUGCAAGUCGAACGGAAAGGCCUAGCUUGCUAGGUACUCGAGUGGCGAACGGGUGAGUAACACGUGGGUGAUCUGCCCCUGACUUUGGGAUAAGCCUGGGAAACUGGGUCUAAUACCGAAUAUGACCUUCUCCUGCAUGGGGGUUGGUGGAAAGCUUUUGCGGUUGGGGAUGGGCCCGCGGCCUAUCAGUUUGUUGGUGGGGUAAUGGCCUACCAAGGCGACGACGGGUAGCCGGCCUGAGAGGGAGAUCGGCCACACUGGGACUGAGACACGGCCCAGACUCCUACGGGAGGCAGCAGUGGGGAAUAUUGCACAAUGGGCGCAAGCCUGAUGCAGCGACGCCGCGUGGGGGAUGACGGCCUUCGGGUUGUAAACCUCUUUCGACAGGGACGAAGCUUUCGGGUGACGGUACCUGUAGAAGAAGCACCGGCCAACUACGUGCCAGCCGCCGCAGUAACAC
rnacentral:rRNA from 1 species